UACGUAGGGGGCAAGCGUUAUCCGGAUUUACUGGGUGUAAAGGGAGCGUAGACGGUAAAGCAAGUCUGAAGUGAAAUGCCAGUGCUCAACACUGGAACUGCUUUGGAAACUGUUUGGCUGGAGUGCAGGAGAGGUAAGUGGAAUUCCUAGUGUAGCGGUGAAAUGCGUUGAUAUUAGGAGGAACACCAGUGGCGAAGGCGGCUUACUGGACUGUAACUGACGUUGAGGCUCGAAAGCGUGGGGAGCAAACAGG
rnacentral:rRNA from 1 species